CUUGCUUUCUUUGCUGGCGACCGGCGCACGGGUGAGUAACACGUAUCCAACCUGCCCUUUACUCGGGGAUAGCCUUUCGAAAGAAAGAUUAAUACCCGAUGGCAUAAUGAUUCCGCAUGGUUUCAUUAUUAAAGGAUUCCGGUAAAGGAUGGGGAUGCGUUCCAUUAGGUUGUUGGUGAGGUAACGGCUCACCAAGCCUUCGAUGGAUAGGGGUUCUGAGAGGAAGGUCCCCCACAUUGGAACUGAGACACGGUCCAAACUCCUACGGGAGGCAGCAGUGAGGAAUAUUGGUCAAUGGGCGCUAGCCUGAACCAGCCAAGUAGCGUGAAGGAUGAAGGCUCUAUGGGUCGUAAACUUCUUUUAUAUAAGAAUAAAGUGCAGUAUGUAUACUGUUUUGUAUGUAUUAUAUGAAUAAGGAUCGGCUAACUCCGUGCCAGCAGCCGCGGUAAUACGGAGGAUCCGAGCGUUAUCCGGAUUUAUUGGGUUU
rnacentral:rRNA from 1 species